ensembl:lncRNA
AUUUCUUUGGAUAGAGGCUGCACUUCUCUCAAGCUGUCACUGGGCAUCAGAUGGGGUUUCCUGACUUUCCCAAGGAUGACUGUAUCUCAGUGUGUGCGUGGCUGGAGAAAUCACAACUUUACACGUGGUAUUUCAGCUUGCAGUUCCAAGCACCUCAAUUUCCUUGUGUUCACCAGUUUUCCCUGACUUCCUAGGUUUCAAGCCGUGCAGAUGUACUUCCUGCACCCAAAUUUCUAUCCAUCUUGAAGCACCUUCUGGAGCACUUUUCACAAAGCACAGCCUGUUGUGUUGCCUGAGGAUGUUCUCAAUGUGAGCAUGCCCAGAAACAACGCUGGGAAAAUGUGUGUUGGGACUGAAUAUUGCUCAGAUGCAAGCAAAGACUGACACUAUGAUAAUUGCCUUUGAGGGGGCAAUUCUUCAUCCCUUGGUUGGUGAAAGCGGAGUGCUUCCUUGGGCCAUUACUGUGGGCUGGCAUUGCGAGAGCUGCAUGCCCUGCAUAUUCACCAGUGUGGCUCUCUCCACUGGACAUCGUGGCUGGUGACUUGGAAGAGUAGAGUAGUGGUUUUAAACCUGGUUUUAUUUUUGAGUUUCUUCUGAAGUGAGAGCCUGGUGGAACUUUCUUGCAGAUACCCUCAGUGUCUGUAACUCAAGUCCCAUGCCUUUAUGCUACGUUAUGUGACAGACUUGUUCAGUGCUUUGUAGGAGAAUUUGUUGGAGUUUACGUACCUUGGAUUACUCACGUUGAUCAUCCUCAUAGUUCUGCCUGGCCCUGAAAUGUAUUAAUUUUUUCCACACUGCCUGGACUGCAUUUCCCUGUGUAAGACUCAGGAUGUGGUAUUCCUUGGAGAAUUCUUUUGCACUGUAUAACUUUACAGUAUGCACAAUUUCUGCCCUCCAUCAGUUCACAUCAUCUGCUAUGAGCAAGUAGGGGUGGUUGUGGCUGUGAUCUGUGUAUCUCAGUUAAUAGUUGCAUCAAAUGUUCAAAUGUUCAUAUCCUUUCCAUAGUGACAAAUGAUUUUAUGGAAAAGACAUUUGGGCUAUGGUUAGGAAAAUACUUGUAUAAAAUUCCAUGUAUUCAGUCUUUGUGCACUUGUAUUUCUGUUUUCAACUGAAAUGACAAUCCUUAUCCCCUUGCUAGCAGAGUGAAGGUAAUGCAUCCAUAAUGAGCAAGCUGAGCUAUAUUAUGUAUCACCAGAACUCGCCAUUUCAGCUCUGCCACUUGAAUUCCUGCAGAAAUUAUGUCCUUGAUUUCCGCCUUCCAGAUUUACUGUCCUGCUUUCCCAUGGGGAGGACUCUCACCUUGCAAGCCCAGCAGAUUUCAUCUGGAGCUGGUGGGAAACAAACAUCCCAGAGUCAUUCACAGUAUGGCUUUUCCAAUACCGUUGCACAAAAAAGAGAAAAGAGGAUGCCAGCUCUGACAAUGACUCCACGUAUGCUUUGCACCACUUGUAGAUUUUCGAAUCAUUAAGAUAGGAAAAGACCUCUAAGAUCAUUUAGUUCAACUGCCACCACACCCCCACCAUGC